GACGUAGGAUGCAAGCGUUGUCCGGAUUUAUUGGGCGUAAAGAGUUCGUAGGCUGUUUGUUAAGUCGGGGGUGAAAUCCUGGGGCUCAACCUCAGAAUUGCCUCCGAUACUGGCAGUCUCGAGUGCGGGAGAGGUGAGUGGAAUUCCCAGUGUAGAGGUGAAAUUCGUAGAUAUUGGGAAGAACACCAGUGGCGAAGGCGGCUCACUGGCCCGUAACUGACGCUGAGGUGCGAAAGCGUGGGGAGCAAACAGG
rnacentral:rRNA from 1 species